rnacentral:rRNA from 1 species
CCUACGGGGGGCAGCAGUGAGGAAUAUUGGUCAAUGGACGAGAGUCUGAACCAGCCAAGUAGCGUGAAGGAUGACUGCCCUAUGGGUUGUAAACUUCUUUUAUAUGGGAAUAAAAUGUUCCACGUGUGGGAUUUUGUAUGUACCAUAUGAAUAAGGAUAGGCUAACUCCGUGCCAGCAGCCGCGGUAAUACGGAGGAUCCGAGCGUUAUCCGGAUUUAUUGGGUUUAAAGGGAGCGUAGGUGGAUUGUUAAGUUAGUUGUGAAAGUUUGCGGCUCAACCGUAAAAUUGCAGUUGAAACUGGCAGUCUUGAGUACAGUAGAGGUGGGCGGAAUUCGUGGUGUAGCGGUGAAAUGCUUAGAUAUCACGAAGAACUCCGAUUGCGAAGGCAGUUCACUGGACUGCAACUGACACUGAGGCUCGAAAGUGUGGGUAUCAAACAGGAUUAGAUACCCUAGUAGUC